ACCGCUCUCCGCCAGGACACUGCCUUUCCAGAAGCUCCUCACAGAGCACCUCGUCCACUUCGCUAAGGAGGGUAAGAUGCCGGAGCAGUGGCCAGAGUACCCAGCAGCCACUGCUCUCCUGAACCAUACCCUCUCUGUGGUCCAUGAUUACUCUGCUGAGCGCUGCCAACUGUGGGAGAAGAAUGGCUUCUACCCCUACGCCUGGGUCAACUGACCCCUCACCCAUAACUCCUACAGCACAGGACUGAAUCCUACACCUGGGUCACCUAGGAUGUUAGUACUGAAUGUGUUCUGUGACUGUGGUGAAAUGUAGAUUUAUUGUGGGAGUUUUGGUGUGUACAGUAUUUUGCCUUCAGGUUUGUUCAAGGAUAAAGUAUCAGAUUUAGAGAAAAGGGAAGAAUGUGUUGGUAUGGAAGAAGAGGAUGGUCAUUUUUAUAUUUCUGCUCUGUUUUGUGGUAGAGAUGGCUGUGAAAAUGUUGAAAGAGGAGACGUUAUUGUGAUGUGUAUUAUCAUUAUUGAUACUUUUAGCUACUGUUAAUUGCACUAAGAUUUUAAAUGAAGAUGCCUACUCUUUACUUUUUUAUGGAAAUCUGUGGUGUGUACGUCGUACAUGUAUGCAAUGAGGAACCAUUUAUUAUGAGGUGCUUUUAUGCUGUAGCCUAUGUUAUGUGUUUCUCUAUUCUUCUCUUUCCAUAAUGUGUCUCUGUGUGGUGGAUAUUCAACCAGACAGAAACAGCUAGGAAGCUUUUUCUGCACGCAUAAACUGUGUCACCACCGAAUCAUCUUCGUUCGACUUGAAAACACUUGUUUUCUUCCGACUCAAGCCUCAUCAAUUCAACGUAAAACACUCUUGCCUUUUCUUCAGCAUCUCCGACAGCCACCGACUUGAUUGGGAACAAGGGAUGGUGCGCUUGUUCUUUAUGUGUGAAGAGAGGGAUGAAAGCCUGUGGAUGACAGAGAGAGCACAUGGAAGUGUUUACUUGUGUAAUUAGCGUUUAGAGUUGCCUCCAAUCAAAAGCUCUCUUGUUCUGUAUUUUCUCCUGUCUAACAGAUAGGGAGUUAUAUCUGUUGCUGUCUUAUUGAUCAUUUCUGCUUUUGUUCCACUAUGUGCGCUAUGAUAGGCAACUUAUUUCAACGUUAAAAUGUUCUUAGUUUUUUUUACUCAGGUAAUCUGCUUUAAAAUGCCAUGACCUAAAAUUACAGGUCAUUCACAUGCACUAAUGCACAUAAUAAAACACACAAAGAAUUAAA